rnacentral:misc_RNA from 1 species
UACGUAGGGUGCGAGCGUUGUCCGGAAUUAUUGGGCGUAAAGAGCUUGUAGGCGGUUCGUCGCGUCGGCUGUGAAAUCCCGAGGCUCAACCUCGGGUCUGCAGUCGAUACGGGCGGACUUGAGUUCGGCAGGGGAGACUGGAAUUCCUGGUGUAGCGGUGAAAUGCGCAGAUAUCAGGAGGGACACCGGUGGCGAAGGCGGGUCUCUGGGCCGAUACUGACGCUGAGGAGCGAAAGCGUGGGGAGCGAACAGG